rnacentral:misc_RNA from 1 species
GAUGAAGAACGUAGUGAAAUGCGAUACGUAGUGUGAAUUGCAGAAUUCAGUGAAUCAUCGAAUCUUUGAACGCACAUUGCACCUCCCGGUAUUCCGGGAGGUAUGCCUGUUCGAGCGUCAUUUGUACCCUCAAGCUCUGCUUGGUGUUGGGUGUUUGUUCCGCCUCUGUGUGUGAACUCGCCUCAAAACAAUUGGCAGCCGGCGUACUUGUUUCGGAGCGCAGCACAUUUUGCGAUCCAGAUCAACGUACAGCGGCAUCCAAGAAGCCUUAUUUAACGCUCUUGACCUCGGAUCAGGUAGGGAUACCCGCUGAACUUAAGCAUAUCAAUAAGCGGAGGA